AGAGGAAAUGCCUAACACGUUUUUUUCCCUUUCCUUAGCUCUUGUAUCUAUCAGGAAUAAGGAAGAUGGAACUUAUCCUGGCCUGUCAGGUCAUUCAGAAAAAUGCUCUUUUGGCAGACAUUCAGCAAGCCUCCUUUUGUUAUUGGAUCCAGCCUCCCCAUACCCUGGACAGAAAGGCUUCCAGAAGCUUUCAUUUCCACUCAGCUGGACAAACGGGGACUCUUAUAGGAUGCUGAACCCCAUCACUCGAAAGAGAGAAGCACUGUGCAGCAGGCUGCAAAGCCCUAUGCAGUGGGCUGUUCUUCUUUUCUCUCUGAAGAAGCCAGAUGCCACAUCACAGAAGAGUGGCAAAGUGUUGGGACUCCUCUGCAAGCAUGGCUACAGAGAAGUCGCCCUUCAUGUCCUGCAGUGA
rnacentral:lncRNA from 13 species